GAUGAACGCUGGCGGCAGGCCUAACACAUGCAAGUCGAACGGCAGCACAGAAGAGCUUGCUCUUUGGGUGGCGAGUGGCGGACGGGUGAGUAAUGUCUGGGAAACUGCCCGACGGAGGGGGAUAACUACUGGAAACGGUAGCUAAUACCGCAUAACGUCGCGCGACCAAAGUGGGGGACCUUCGGGCCUCACACCAUCGGAUGUGCCCAGAUGGGGUUAGCUAGUAGUUGGGGUAAUGGCUCACCUAGGCGACGAUCCCUAGCUGGUCUGAGGGGAUGAAGAGCCACACUGGAACGGAGACACGGUCCAGACGCCUACGGGGGGCAGCAGUGGGGAGUAUUGCACAAUGGGCGCAAGCCUGAUGCAGCCAUGCCGCGUGUAGGAAGAAGGCCUUCGGGUUGUAAAGUACUUUCGGCGGGGAGGAAGGCGGUGAGAUUAAUAACCUCGCCGAUUGACGUUACCCGCAGAAGAAGCACCGGCUAACUCCGUGCCAGCCGCCGCGGUAA
rnacentral:rRNA from 1 species